ensembl:lncRNA
AUGAGUCCCAUAACCAAGGCUACUGUGUCUCUUAUCCGGUUUGUUUUAUGGGUGAAUAAGGUGAGGAAUUCAUGGAUUUUUAACUUCCUCUGGAAAGCAGGCACAUGGAUUCACAGCUAUCACACAUUAAGUGUAUGUUUUUGGGGUUACUUUAAUAAUGGCACCUGCUGUAAAGAAAUGACCCCAGGUGAAAUCUUCUCCCAACCCUUUAGCCAUUUCUUUGGGUCUGCCCCACCAGUUUUUGAAGGGUUCAGAUCCACUCUAAAUAUUAAUGAUAUCAUACAGUGGCUGGUGUUGCUGAUAGGCCUGCUCUAUUUAGCAUUUAGAGAGAAGGGGAGACUUACCUGGAUAACUACCAUGACACCUGACCCUGCCCCACAGCCCACCCCAGCUAGGGAUGCUGCUGCCCCAGAGCCUGACCCUGCCCCACAGCCCACCCCAGCUAGGGAUGCUGCUGCCCCAGAGCCUGACCCUGCCCCACAGCCCACCACAGAUGUGAACUACCCAGAUUGGGUGGGGGGUUUGGUGAAGGAGAUACAUGAGAUGGGCCAGAUGCUGAAAGAAUACACUUCCCCAGCUGGUGAGAAGCCCUCCCCCGGCCCUGAAGAGGGAGAGUCUAACAGUGCAGCAGCGGAACCCACAGAUGUUACAACUGUCCAGGCUCCAGCUGAAUUGCAAAGGCAAUCACAGCCAGCAGCAGUUGCCCCUGUAGAAACAAGGAGAUCUAAGAUGAAAGCAGAGCACCCAGAUAGGGGAGGGCCCUCACAAGCCACAGGGGAACCAGAGGUUGCGAUCAUCACCGAGUCCCUGACGUACGAAAGUCUCCGUAAUCUGCACAAAGACAUUGUACGACGGGGACGUGAGGCUUAUACAACCUGGCUACUUCGGGUCUGGGAUCUUACGGGUACAGGCAUCCAGCUGGAUGGUGGUGAGGCAAGGAAUUUGGGACCCUUGACCCAGGACUCAGGUAUCAAUCAGAUUUUUGUAAGGGAGCCAGGGUCCCUUUCCCUCUGGGAGCGGCUUUUAAUAAGUGUCAGAGAGAGGUUUGUUCACAGGGAAAGAAUGCAGGAGCACCACCAUAGAAUGCGCUGGAAGACUCUUGAAGAAGGGAUCCAACAGCUGAGAGAAGUGGCAGUAUUGGAGGUACUUUUUGGGAGGGAUGGACAGCAUGAUAAUGACCCCGACAAAGUCAGGUGCACAGGGCAAAUGUUGUGGAGCCUGGCAAAUCUAGGGCCAUCCCAAUACACCACGUUUAUUACAACAAUUAAUGCUGACACCAACCGAGAGACAGUAGGUUCUGUGGCCAACAAGCUUAGGAAUUAUGAAAGUAUGAUCAAUGGCCUGAUGCAGGCUCAUGUCUCUGCCGUGGUCCAAGAACUCAGAGAGGAGAUGAGGGAGAUGAUGAGGAAGAACAGUUCCCAUAUAGCACCAGUGCGAGUCACAGGCCCCAGAGUCAGAGCCCAACGUUCCCCAGCUACAGAGAGAGGGUACACCCCACGGGCUGACCUGUGGUUUUUCCUGCGUGACCAUGGGGAAGACAUGGGAAGGUGGGAUAGAAAACCCACUUCUGUCCUGGCAGCACGAGUGCGUCAACUCAAGGAGGGAAACACUAAUCAAGGGAACUCCAGUAAAGUGAAGGUAGCCUCAACCUCCCAUGAC